rnacentral:rRNA from 1 species
UGGGGAAUUUUGGACAAUGGGGGCAACCCUGAUCCAGCCAUGCCGCGUGAGUGAAGAAGGCCUUCGGGUUGUAAAGCUCUUUCGGCGGGGAAGAAAUGGCAACGGCUAAUAUCCGUUGUUGAUGACGGUACCCGCAUAAGAAGCACCGGCUAACUACGUGCCAGCAGCCGCGGUAAUACGUAGGGUGCGAGCGUUAAUCGGAAUUACUGGGCGUAAAGCGUGCGCAGGCGGUUGUGCAAGACCGAUGUGAAAUCCCCGGGCUUAACCUGGGAAUUGCAUUGGUGACUGCACGGCUAGAGUGUGUCAGAGGGGGGUAGAAUUCCACGUGUAGCAGUGAAAUGCGUAGAGAUGUGGAGGAAUACCGAUGGCGAAGGCAGCCCCCUGGGAUAACACUGACGCUCAUGCACGAAAGCGUGGGGAGCAAACA